UGGCCAAACAACAUGGAUGAUGAAGGAAGAACUCACCCCUGGGCCUCCAAGAGAACUACAUGCAGACGUCUGCGGUUUUUGAUCUGACCA
ensembl:misc_RNA